GCUGGCGGCAGGCCUAACACAUGCAAGUCGAGCGGUAGAGAGAAGCUUGCUUCUCUUGAGAGCGGCGGACGGGUGAGUAAUACCUAGGAAUCUGCCUGAUAGUGGGGGAUAACGUUCGGAAACGGACGCUAAUACCGCAUACGUCCUACGGGAGAAAGCAGGGGACCUUCGGGCCUUGCGCUAUCAGAUGAGCCUAGGUCGGAUUAGCUAGUUGGUGAGGUAAUGGCUCACCAAGGCUACGAUCCGUAACUGGUCUGAGAGGAUGAUCAGUCACACUGGAACUGAGACACGGUCCAGACUCCUACGGGAGGCAGCAGUGGGGAAUAUUGGACAAUGGGCGAAAGCCUGAUCCAGCCAUGCCGCGUGUGUGAAGAAGGUCUUCGGAUUGUAAAGCACUUUAAGUUGGGAGGAAGGGCAGUUACCUAAUACGUGACUGUCUUGACGUUACCGACAGAAUAAGCACCGGCUAACUCUGUGCCAGCAGCCGCGGUAAUACAGAGGGUGCAAGCGUUAAUCGGAAUUACUGGGCGUAAAGCGCGCGUAGGUGGUUUGUUAAGUUGAAUGUGAAAUCCCCGGGCUCAACCUGGGAACUGCAUCCAAAACUGGCAAGCUAGAGUAUGGUAGAGGGUAGUGGAAUUUCCUGUGUAGCGGUGAAAUGCGUAGAUAUAGGAAGGAACACCAGUGGCGAAGGCGACUACCUGGACUGAUACUGACACUGAGGUGCGAAAGCG
rnacentral:rRNA from 1 species